rnacentral:rRNA from 1 species
AACAAACGCUGGCGGCGUGCCUAAUACAUGCAAGUCGAACGGGGAAAGCUUUCGGGUGAGUACUAGUGGCGCACGGGUGAGUAACGCGUGGAUAAUCUGCCUUAGAGUGGGGGAUAACUAGUCGAAAGAUUAGCUAAUACCGCAUAAGACCACAAGAACUGCGGUUCAAGGGGUCAAAGGUUUUUCGCUCUAAGAUGAGUCCGCGUAAGAUUAGCUAGUUGGUGAGGUAAUGGCUCACCAAGGCGACGAUCUUUAACUGGUCUGAGAGGAUGAUCAGUCACACUGGAACUGAGACAAGGUCCAGACUCCUACGGGGGGCAGCAGUAGGGAAUAUUGCACAAUGGAGGAAACUCUGAUGCAGCGACGCCGCGUGAGUGAUGAAGGCCUUCGGGUCGUAAAGCUCUGUCGCAAGGGAAUAACACAAUGAAUGUACCUUGCAAGAAAGGAUCGGCUAACUUCGUGCCAGCCGCCGCGGUAAGAC